rnacentral:piRNA from 1 species
UGCAAAGGGUAUGUGAUGGCAACUCCAGGU